CGCAUCUGUGCAUGCAGCAUAUCAAUAAGCGGAGGAAAAGAAACUAACAAGGAUUCCCUUAGUAACGGCGAGUGAAGCGGGAAGAGCUCAAAUUUGAAAUCUUCAAGGUUUUACCUUGACGAAUUGUAGUUUAAAGAAGUGUUUUCUGCUGAAGUUUUGGUAAAAGUUCUUUGGAAUAGGACAUCAUAGAGGGUGAGAAUCCCGUAUUUGACCAUUAUUUUCAGCUUUGUGAUACACUUUCAAAGAGUCGGAUUGUUUGGGAAUGCAGUCCAAAAUGGGUGGUAAAUUUCAUCUAAAGCUAAAUAUUGGCGAGAGACCGAUAGCGAACAAGGUACCGUGAGGGAAAGAUGAAAAGAACUUUGAAAAGAGAGUUAAACAGUACGUGAAAUUGUCAAAAGGGAAGCGUUUGACACCAGUGUUGCUUUUCUCGAAAAUCAAUUAAAAAUGGCUCGAUUUUGUAUUGCUGAGACCUUAAAAGCUCACUGUACAUUUUUCGUGUCUUUUUUAAUGCACUUUUCGUUUAACAAGUCAACAUCAGUUUCUUUUGUUGUAAAAGGGUCAUUGGAAGGUGGCUUUCUUUUCGGAGAAAGUGUUUAUAGCCUUUGGCCUCUGCAAUCGGAGAGACUGAGGUCUGCAGCGUAGACUCUUCGGGGUUAGAUACAUUUGUGCUAAGUUAUAGCUUUUUAUAGACAACUUGUUGACUAUAAUUAGUCUUGUAGCUUACUCGCUUAUGCUAUUUUACCUACGCUUAGGAUGUUGAUAGUCACAGCGUGUAC
rnacentral:rRNA from 1 species